AUACGGAGGGGGCUAGCGUUGUUCGGAAUUACCGGGCGUAAAGCGCGCGUAGGCGGUCCGCGUAGUCAGGCGUGAAAGCCCCGGGCUCAACCUGGGAACUGCGUUUGAUACUGGCGAGCUAGAGUCCGGGAGAGGGUAGCGGAAUUCCCAGUGUAGAGGUGAAAUUCGUAGAUAUUGGGAAGAACACCAGUGGCGAAGGCGGCUACCUGGACCGGUACUGACGCUGAGGUGCGAAAGCGUGGGGAGCAAACAGGAUUAGAAACCCCGGUAGUCC
rnacentral:rRNA from 1 species